AGUGAACGCUGGCGGUAGGCCUAACACAUGCAAGUCGAACGGCAGCACAGGAGAGCUUGCUCUCUGGGUGGCGAGUGGCGGACGGGUGAGGAAUACAUCGGAAUCUACUCUGUCGUGGGGGAUAACGUAGGGAAACUUACGCUAAUACCGCAUACGACCUACGGGUGAAAGCAGGGGACCUUCGGGCCUUGCGCGAUUGAAUGAGCCGAUGUCGGAUUAGCUAGUUGGCGGGGUAAAGGCCCACCAAGGCGACGAUCCGUAGCUGGUCUGAGAGGAUGAUCAGCCACUGGAACUGAGACACGGUCCAGACUCCUACGGGAGGCAGCAGUGGGGAAUAUUGGACAAUGGGCGCAAGCCUGAUCCAGCCAUACCGCGUGGGUGAAGAAGGCCUUCGGGUUGUAAAGCCCUUUUGUUGGGAAGGAAAUCCAGCUGGCUAAUACCCGGUUGGGAUGACGGUACCCAAAGAAUAAGCACCGGCUAACUUCGUGCCAGCCGCCGCAGUAA
rnacentral:rRNA from 1 species